rnacentral:rRNA from 1 species
CCUCCAAGCCGAUUGCUGUCUUUUCGAUAGUUCUCUUGGAGAUUCCCCUUUGCCCCUUUUAUCAUACACUUGUCGCAAUAUUUGAACGUGCUCGUGCCGGGUAAGGCAAUUUGUAAAAAUAUACAACUUUUAACAACGGAUCUCUUGGCUCUCGCAUCGAUGAAGAACGCAGCGAAAUGCGAUAAGUAAUGUGAAUUGCAGAAUUCAGUGAAUCAUCGAAUCUUUGAACGCACCUUGCGCUUCCUGGUAUUCCGGGGAGCAUGCCUGUUCGAGUGUCGUAAAAUUCUCAAGCUGGAUGGUUUUUCCGUCCUAGCAUUGGUUUAUUGGGCUCUGCUGGUGUCCUCCAUUAGGAGGACCGGCUGGCCUUAAAAGCAUUAGCUUGACCCUCUGAUGUGGAAUUGGUUCCUACUCAGCGUGAUAAU